AUUGAACGCUGGCGGCAUGCCUUACACAUGCAAGUCGAACGGCAGCACGGGUGCUUGCACCUGGUGGCGAGUGGCGAACGGGUGAGUAAUAUAUCGGAACGUACCUUAUUGUGGGGGAUAACGCAGCGAAAGCUGUGCUAAUACCGCAUAAUCCCUAAGGGGGAAAGCGGGGGACCGUAAGGCCUCGCGCAAUUAGAGCGGCCGAUACCUGAUUAGCUAGUUGGUGAGGUAAAGGCUCACCAAGGCAACGAUCAGUAGCUGGUCUGAGAGGACGAUCAGCCACACUGGGACUGAGACACGGCCCAGACUCCUACGGGAGGCAGCAGGUGGGGAAUUUUGGACAAUGGGGGCAACCCUGAUCCAGCAAUGCCGCGUGAGUGAAGAAGGCCUUCGGGUUGUAAAGCUCUUUUGUCAGGGAAGAAACAGCAGCUCUAACACAGUCUGCGAAUGACGGUACCUGAAGAAUAAGCACCGGCUAACUACGUG
rnacentral:rRNA from 1 species